UACGUAGGCAGCAAGCGUUGUUCGGAGUUACUGGGCGUAAAGGGUGUGUAGGCGGUUUUCUAAGUCUGGUGUGAAAUCUCCCGGCUCAACUGGGAGGGUGCGCCGAAAACUGGAAGGCUAGAGUGCGGGAUGGGAGAGUGGAAUUCCUGGUGUAGCGGUGAAAUGCGUAGAGAUCGGGAGGAACACCAGAGGCGAAGGCGGCGACCUGGACAGAUACUGACACUCAACUACGAAAGCGUGGGUAGCAAACAGG
rnacentral:rRNA from 1 species